GCAUAUCAAUAAGCGGAGGAAAAGAAACCAACAGGGAUUGCCCCAGUAACGGCGAGUGAAGCGGCAACAGCUCAAAUUUGAAAUCUGGCCCCAGGCCCGAGUUGUAAUUUGCAGAGGAUGCUUUUGGCGCGGUGCCUUCCGAGUUCCCUGGAACGGGACGCCAUAGAGGGUGAGAGCCCCGUACGGUUGGACACCAAGUCUUUGUAAAGCUCCUUCGACGAGUCGAGUAGUUUGGGAAUGCUGCUCAAAAUGGGAGGUAUAUUUCUUCUAAAGCUAAAUAUUGGCCAGAGACCGAUAGCGCACAAGUAGAGUGAUCGAAAGAUGAAAAGCACUUUGAAAAGAGGGUUAAACAGCACGUGAAAUUGUUAAAAGGGAAGCGCUUAUGACCAGACUUGCGCCCGGUGAAUCACCCAGCUCUCGCGGCUGGGGCACUUUGCCGGCUCAGGCCAGCAUCAGCUCGCUGUCGGGGACAAAAGCUUCGGGAACGUAGCUCUCUUCGGGGAGUGUUAUAGCCCGUUGCACAAUACCCUUCGGCGGGCUGAGGUACGCGCUCCGCAAGGAUGCUGGCGUAAUGGUCAUCAGCGACCCGUCUUGAAACACGGACC
rnacentral:rRNA from 1 species